ensembl:snRNA U2 U2 spliceosomal RNA
AUUGCUUCUCAGCCUUUUGGCUAAGAUCAUGUGUAGUACUAUGAUUCUAUGAUUCUUACUUUAUUAAAUCACUCAUUAUUUUAAUGAAUAUGAGCAUGGUUAUAGAAAGGGUCCAGGCAGGGGACUCAGAACAUGUGAGUGCUAUUUGUGGCCAUACCAU